CCCAGGUGAGCACCGGGCGAGGAGAACGCGAAAAUUGCGAGCUGAAGAUCACCUUCCUCGCCCGGGCGACGGACCCGAUGCCCGGGCGUCGACCGUUCGUAUCCUGGGCAAGAAAAACUAGCGCCCAAGCGCCACAUAAGCCUUGAUUCACGCUUGAGCGAGCUCCCUGAGACACUUAAGCGUGAUUUGACCUGGAUCCGGCCUUGUUUCUGCUCUAAUUUGAUUCUUUUGGACCGGGCUGCACUCAGGGACGCGUCUGGCACUAUUUAAAGGACCCUGGGGCUCUAGGUUUUGCAUCCC
rnacentral:lncRNA from 1 species